UUAUUUUUCUUCUGUUGGGUGAUAGAGUUUAAAUCAAGCUACAUUUGCAAAUUAAACCCAAUUCUAUUAGCAGGAAAUAGAAACAAAACAAUUGUCAAUUUUUUUUAAGAUUCAUAAUAUACAUGGUAAAAAUAUGCUCCAAUUAACCCAUAUCAUGAGAUUUGUAGCUUUACUCUAUUACACAAUGGCAAAAAUUUGUAGUCCUAGUCUAAGCAAACACAAAUCUGGUGAACAGUACU
rnacentral:lncRNA from 1 species